rnacentral:rRNA from 1 species
UGUAAGCGUAUACCAAAGUUGUUGCAGUUAAAACGCUCGUAGUCGGAAUUUGGCAGUUCCGGAAGUGUGCACGUCGUGUGCGCACUUUGCGGGGACUGCUUUUGUGGUUUUGCGUAGGAUGAGGCACUUUCAUUAGUGAACGUCCUCACGCAACCACUCUUUACUGUGAGAAAAUCAGAGUGCUCAAAGCAGGCAUUUGCCGUGAAUGUAUUAGCAUGGAAUAAUAGAAUAGGACUCGGUUCUAUUUUGUUGGUUUGUUGGGACUGAGUAAUGAUUAAGAGGGACAGUUGGGGGCAUUUGUAUUCCGGCGCUAGAGGUGAAAUUCUUAGAUUGCCGGAAGACAAACUGCUGCGAAAGCGUCUGCCAAGGAUGUUUUCAUUGA